UCCUCGGGCAGGGUGUGACACAGGUUUCUUCUUGUCUUGAGGAUGAGUGAAGAAGCCCACAGCCACAUGGGUAUUUUCGCAGCUUCCCAUGGGGGAAAGGCUGACCCUGGAUAGAAUGGCAGGAGAAUUUAAUUUUAGGAUUUGGGAAGAAGGAAUUAUUGUUAAGUAUCUCAGAAGAAUCAAGAUUUGGGAGCAGGAAGUGAAGACUUAUCCAAAUUAAAGAUUGUGCUAAUUUAUUACAACCAUGUAUACUGAAAACAAGCAUGUUGGGAGCCUUGAAAGAAAUCAGAAGAGAUUCUGAGGAGGUAGCUAAGGAAUCCCAGAUCACCUAAGAGUUUGGAAAGAAGAAAGAGGGCAUGGCACACCCAGGGGAAUGACGCCUCUGCACCCCAGCCUGGCCUCACAAGCACUGUAGUGGUUAUAUACGAGGCUCUGGGGGCUUUCUGCUGGAAUCCUCCUCCUGCUCUGCCAUGACCAGUUGUGAUUCUGGGCAAUUUACUUAGUCUCUGUCAGCCUUCCCCAUCCACUGGAGGAGAGAUAGUUUUAACUCAUGUCACUGUGAUAACUGCA
rnacentral:lncRNA from 1 species